AUAUAACUCGGGUCCAGAACGGACGCAUUUUCAUCGAUUGUCACAUUUCUAUUGCGAUUUGCAGAUUUCAUUUAUGAUUGACUAGGAGCUUCGCCUCUGCGCACUUCGCACCUCACUCUUGUGUGCUCGAUGUGACUCAACAUGUUCUAGCCUUCGGGGUGACACAAUAAUCUUCUGUGUUUUUACCACAUUUUUCUAAUGUGCUGUUUUCAACUAUCUUGAGGAGACGAAGAACGGAAAGGACCGAUCUUGCAGAAAAUGGGCCACUUUUACUGGUUAGGUACUGGUAUCCUACUGUGAGUAAUAGUACUUGCAAUUUUCUGAUUUCUAUUAAUGCAGAGUACGUAAAUAUACGAUUUUUUGAAAAAAAUAU
rnacentral:lncRNA from 1 species